rnacentral:rRNA from 2 species
CGGAGUGGACGCAUCACUGGUGUUCGGGUUGUCAUGCCAAUGGCACUGCCCGGUAGCUAAAUGCGGAAGAGAUAAGUGCUGAAAGCAUCUAAGCACGAAACUUGCCCCGAGAUGAGUUCUCCCUGACCCUUUAAGGGUCCUGAAGGAACGUUGAAGACGACGACGUUGAUAGGCCGGGUGUGUAAGCGCAGCGAUGCGUUGAGCUAACCGGUACUAAUGAACCGUGAGGCUUAACCUU